rnacentral:rRNA from 1 species
GUAUUGAAGGUGAUGCCUGCCCGGUGACAUAGUUUAACGGCCGCGGUAUCCUAACCGUGCAAAGGUAGCGCAAUCAAUUGUCCCGUAAAUCGGGACUAGUAUGAAUGGCUAAACGAGGUUCUAACUGUCUCUUACAGGCAAUCGGUGAAAUUGAUCUCCCUGUACAAAAGCAGGGAUGCAACCAUAAGACGAGAAGACCCUGUGGAACUUUAAAAACAGCGGCCACCCCUAGGCUAGCAUGCAAACCCAUUCGGGCACACCUUCCCCUAAUAAGGCCUGGCUCGCAUUUUUUCGGUUGGGGCGACCUUGGAGCAAAACAAAACCUCCAAAUCUUAGACCAAGCAUCUAGACUGAGAGCAACCUCUCAACGUGCUAAUAGCAACCAGAUCCAAUAUAAUUGAUCAAUGGACCAAGCUACCCCAGGGAUAACAGCGCAAUCUCCUCCAAGAGUCCAUAUCGACGGGGAGGUUUACGACCUCGAUGUUGGAUCAGGACAUCCUAGCGGUGCAGCCGCUGCUAAGGGUUCGU